rnacentral:rRNA from 1 species
CCUACGGGUGGCAGCAGUGGGGAAUAUUGGACAAUGGGGGGAACCCUGAUCCAGCCAUGCCGCGUGUGUGAAGAAGGCCCUCGGGUUGUAAAGCACUUUCAGUGAGGAAGAACGCCUGGUGGUUAAUACCCAUCAGGAAAGACAUCACUCACAGAAGAAGCACCGGCUAACUCCGUGCCAGCAGCCGCGGUAAUACGGAGGGUGCGAGCGUUAAUCGGAAUUACUGGGCGUAAAGCGCGCGUAGGUGGCUUGAUAAGCCGGUUGUGAAAGCCCCGGGCUCAACCUGGGAACGGCAUCCGGAACUGUCAAGCUAGAGUGCAGGAGAGGAAGGUAGAAUUCCCGGUGUAGCGGUGAAAUGCGUAGAGAUCGGGAGGAAUACCAGUGGCGAAGGCGGCCUUCUGGACUGACACUGGCACUGAGGUGCGAAAGCGUGGGUAGCAAACAGGAUUAGAUACCCCAGUAGUC